rnacentral:rRNA from 1 species
UGGGGAAUAUUGGACAAUGGGCGCAAGCCUGAUCCAGCCAUGCCGCGUGAGUGAUGAAGGCCCUAGGGUUGUAAAGCUCUUUCACCGGUGAAGAUAAUGACGGUAACCGGAGAAGAAGCCCCGGCUAACUUCGUGCCAGCAGCCGCGGUAAUACGAAGGGGGCUAGCGUUGUCCGGAAUUACUGGGCGUAAAGGGUUCGCAGGCGGCAUGGCAAGUCCGAUGUAAAAGGCGAAGGCUCAACCUUCGUAAGCAUCGGAAACUGUCAAGCUUGAGUGAAGGAGAGGCAAGUGGAAUUCCUAGUGUAGCGGUGGAAUGCGUAGAUAUUAGGAGGAAUACCGGUGGCGAAGGCGACUUGCUGGACUUCAACUGACGCUGAGGAACGAAAGCGUGGGUAGCAAACAGG